UGCUGCAUGGUUUCAGAGGUGAGGUCGAUAAUGAACUGAGCUGGAGAGUUGAGGGUUGAAUUGCGAAUAAAAUCUAUAAAAAAAUUCUAAAACUAUAGGGUGCCCUCUGGUUUAGGACCCUCCAAUGCUUGAGUCAACCAGGGCCUUAAGAACAGGUUAUGAAAAUAAAAAAGUAGAAAGAAAAAAAUGAGAGUUUGAGAGUAGAGAGAAAUGGAG
rnacentral:lncRNA from 1 species